GAUAAACGCUGGCGGCGUGCUUUAUGCAUGCAAGUCGAACGGUCUCGAUUUAUCGGGACAGUGGCAAACGGGUGAGUAACACGUAAGUAACCUGCCCCCAAGUAGGGAAUAACCCCGAGAAAUCGGAGCUAAUACUCUAUGUGAUGGGAGAGGUAAUGCACUCUCAUUAAAGCCUUCGGGCGCUUGAGGAGGGGCUUGCGGCCGAUUAGCUAGUUGGUAGGGUAAUGGUCUACCAAGGCAACGAUCGGUAGCUGGUUUGAGAGGAUGACCAGCCACACUGGGACUGAGACACGGCCCAGACUCCUACGGGUGGCUG
rnacentral:rRNA from 1 species